GCGAGCCCAGCUGGGGUGGUAAAUAGAGUACAGUACAUCACCAUGUAACAAAUGCAGACAUCUCUGAGAUCACCAUGCAGUGAGGAAGUCUAAGCUGGUGGCAUGAAGAGGCCACAUGGAAAGGGCUAAAAAAGGGGCCAGCCUCAGUCAUCCCAGCUGAGCACCUGGCUGGGAAUAAAAGAGGACUCCGUGGAUGUCCAGCCCAGUAAGAUGACCUCAGCCCCAGCCACCAACUGACCAUGCACACAAGACAUCGUGAGGCUGCCUGCUGGAGCCUGGCCAGUGGGACUGUAGAGUAACUCAUUGUCGUGCAGGAACUCCUGGGAUGGUGUUGCCCAGUGACACAAUCCCAGUGUGGCCAUUUCUGAUCCCGAGAAAGCAGUCAGGAGUGGGUGGAUGCAGUUACAGUUCAUCAAGUCCUGCUAGUUCAAGUCAUGAGUCCUGAAUUCUCCAGGAGGAGCCACUAAAGAAAUGCAGAAGCAGGCAAUCCUCGCAAUAAAGCCAGCAAACUGCCAGUGUGAAGGAUGCCCAGGUAACCUGCCCAUGCCAGAACGGCCAGGAGAUGGUGGAACCAGAAUCUAAGCCCACGCCCAUCUGACCUCAAAGUCUGUGCUCCUGAUGUUUGCACCGAGUCGCCUCCUAAGACUUGCUGAAACUGGAUCACAUCCAUUUACCCAUCUCUGAGAGAAAUGCAAGCUUUAAAAAAGGAAAUAUUUACUAUGGAUAUUUUACAAUAGUUCCAAAACAUGAAAGUUUUAAAUAAGAUAUUCUUAACCAUCCUCACCACAUCUUCA
rnacentral:antisense_RNA from 1 species